rnacentral:rRNA from 1 species
GACGAACGCUGGCGGCGUGCUUAACACAUGCAAGUCGAACGGAAAGGCCCUGCUUUUGUGGGGUGCUCGAGUGGCGAACGGGUGAGUAACACGUGAGUAACCUGCCCUUGACUUUGGGAUAACUUCAGGAAACUGGGGCUAAUACCGGAUAGGAGCUCCUGCUGCAUGGUGGGGGUUGGAAAGUUUCGGCGGUUGGGGAUGGACUCGCGGCUUAUCAGCUUGUUGGUGGGGUAGUGGCUUACCAAGGCUUUGACGGGUAGCCGGCCUGAGAGGGUGACCGGCCACAUUGGGACUGAGAUACGGCCCAGACUCCUACGGGAGGCAGCAGUGGGGAAUAUUGCACAAUGGGCGGAAGCCUGAUGCAGCAACGCCGCGUGCGGGAUGACGGCCUUCGGGUUGUAAACCGCUUUCGCCUGUGACGAAGCGUGAGUGACGGUAAUGGGUAAAGAAGCACCGGCUAACUACGUGCCAGCAGCCGCGGUGAUACGUAGGGUGCGAGCGUUGUCCGGAUUUAUUGGGCGUAAAGGGCUCGUAGGUGGUUGAUCGCGUCGGAAGUGUAAUCUUGGGGCUUAACCCUGAGCGUGCUUUCGAUACGGGUUGACUUGAGGAAGGUAGGGGAGAAUGGAAUUCCUGGUGGAGCGGUGGAAUGCGCAGAUAUCAGGAGGAACACCAGUGGCGAAGGCGGUUCUCUGGGCCUUUCCUGACGCUGAGGAGCGAAAGCGUGGGGAGCGAACAGGCUUAGAUACCCUGGUAGUCCACGCUGUAAACGGUGGGUACUAGGUGUGGGGUCCAUUCCACGGGUUCCGUGCCGUAGCUAACGCUUUAAGUACCCCGCCUGGGGAGUACGGCCGCAAGGCUAAAACUCAAAGGAAUUGACGGGGCCCCGCACAAGCGGCGGAGCAUGCGGAUUAAUUCGAUGCAACGCGUAGAACCUUACCUGGGUUUGACAUGGAUCGGGAGUGCUCAGAGAUGGGUGUGCCUCUUUUGGGGUCGGUUCACAGGUGGUGCAUGCCUGUCGUCAGCUCGUGUCGUGAGAUGUUGGGUUAAGUCCCGCAACGAGCGCAACCCUUGUUCACUGUUGCCAGCACGUUAUGGUGGGGACUCAGUGGAGACCGCCGGGGUCAACUCGGAGGAAGGUGGGGAUGACGUCAAGUCCUCAUGCCCCUUAUGUCCAGGGCUUCACGCAUGCUACAAUGGCUGGUACAGAGAGUGGCGAGCCUGUGAGGGUGAGCGAAUCUCGGAAAGCCGGUCUCAGUUCGGAUUGGGGUCUGCAACUCGACCUCAUGAAGUCGGAGUCGCUAGUAAUCGCAGAUCAGCAACGCUGCGGUGAAUACGUCCCCGGGGCU